GGCCAGACUCCUACGGGAGGCAGCAGUGGGGGAUAUUGCACAAUGGGGGAAACCCUGAUGCAGCGACGCCGCGUGGGUGAAGAAGCGCCUCGGCGCGUAAAGCCCUGUCAGCAGGGAAGAAAAUGACGGUACCUGAAGAAGAAGCCCCGGCUAACUACGUGCCAGCAGCCGCGGUAAUACGUAGGGGGCAAGCGUUAUCCGGAUUUACUGGGUGUAAAGGGAGCGUAGACGGCGGCGCAAGUCCGGAGUGAAAGCCCACGGCCCAACCGUGGGACUGCUCUGGAAACUGUGCGGCUUGAGUGCGGGAGGGGCAGGCGGAAUUCCUGGUGUAGCGGUGAAAUGCGUAGAUAUCAGGAGGAACACCGGCGGCGAAGGCGGUCUGCUGGACAGCAACUGACGCUGAGGCGCGAAAGCGUGGGGAGCAAACAGGAUUAGAUACCCCAGUACUC
rnacentral:rRNA from 1 species